rnacentral:lncRNA from 1 species
AUCUGAUGAUAUGACUCUAAAAUUUUAGAUCAAAUACAUUGAUCUUAUUUUAUAUAGUAUAAAAAAUUUUCUAUCAAAAUUUUCAGAUGAUCAUUUGAAUAUUUCUACACCGUUAUUAAACUUGCAAAUGGCCCACUGCGGCCAUUAAAAUUAUUGAUUCUGAGCUUCUUUGAUCACUAGGCAAAUGAUAUUAAAAAAUCACAAAAUUUAUUUUCUAACUACUUCAAAUAUUCUAAAUCAAGUCUAACGGAGCCCAUCGUCGAUUCGAAAGUCACAACAUCGACAAUAACUUGGAAGCCCGGAUUCAAAAAACAGUUAAUUGGGAGGAUUUCCAUUCACCCGGGAAUUGGAAUCAGAACGGGAAUUCCACAUAUCAAAUACUGACAAACAGAUUCGUCUAUAUUCCGAUUCUAAGAUGAAAAAUGGGCGAACCAAACAUACGCUUAGUAUAUUGUGGCCCUCAUUGAAUCGGUAUGAAUAUAAAAUCCCAACUAAAUUUGGAUUCAAAUAAGGUUAAAAACGAAAUAAAUGAAACUUUUCUAAAAUAGUGAAAACAAAUAAUAAUUGAGACCAACUAUCCCGAGGCCAAAAUGAUAGAAUUUGGGCCGAAAAAAUAAUGCCAAAUCACUAUGCUAUUCACACGAAGGAUUUGCCUAAAAAAAAUUAUUUCAACGAGCCAUAGGCUUAGUUUGGUAUUGAGGCCUAUCAAACGUUAUUAGAUAAAAUGAAGUUGAGAAAAAAGCAUAUAAGGAUAUGCUUAUGUGCUCUCCGGUGGAACCGCAGAAAAUAUAUUAUAACCGACUCAUCACAAUAUGCGGAACGCAAUAUUACGUACGGAUACAAACAGAAUAUUUCUUCAACGUACUUUCUCACUGCACGUAACGCAAUCUCCCCACAAUCCAAAUGUGAUCGUAUGCAGCUUCUCCAGAUCGUUCGAAUUAAGAAC